UACGGAGGGUGCAAGCGUUAUCCGGAUUCACUGGGUUUAAAGGGUGCGUAGGUGGGCAGAUAAGUCAGUGGUGAAAUCUCCGGGCUUAACCCGGAAACUGCCGUUGAUACUAUUUGUCUUGAAUAUUGUGGAGGUAAGCGGAAUAUGUCAUGUAGCGGUGAAAUGCUUAGAUAUGACAUAGAACACCAAUUGCGAAGGCAGCUUACUACACAAUCAUUGACGCUGAGGCACGAAAGCGUGGGGAUCAAACAGG
rnacentral:rRNA from 1 species